AGCUUUGCACAGUGGCAGUAUCAUAACCAGUGAGGUUUACAAGGUGUGAUUAUUGCUAAUUGAAAAAAAAAGAUAGACAAACUUAAAUGUAAAAUGUAAAACUAUAGAACUUCUAGAAAACAAUGU
rnacentral:snRNA from 1 species